rnacentral:lncRNA from 1 species
ACAUCUCAUGUUUUACUCCAAAGGUGUAAAAGUCAUUUUACACCUUAAGUCGGAAAUAUGUGAAUUGAUCUAAACAAUCAUCUAUCAUCAAUCUAAACUAAAUCAAAUUCCUAAUAAGAUCAUAAUCUAAUACUUUGAUACCACUUUGUCUUGUCUCAAGGCCUAUUCCAUGAGUAUGAUUAUCAUUUGACACCUAAGUCGCACCUCAAAUAGGAAGACUUAAAGUGUGAAUUGACCCAAUUGUCAUUAGU